rnacentral:rRNA from 1 species
UUUUUUUUGAGAGUUUGAUCCUGGCUCAGGAUGAACGCUGGCGGUAUGCCUUAAGCAUGCAAGUCGAACGAUCUUGUCCUUUGGACAAGAAUUUUCAAAUUAUCCAAUAAUCCAAUAAAUACCAAUUAUCCAAUAAGAGCAAAAUUCUUAUUUGAUUAUUUGAGAAUUGGAUUAUUUGUUGAUUGGAAAUUCUCGCCCAGAGGGCGAGGUAGUGGCAGACGGGUGAGUAAUAGUAAGGAACGUACCCCAAGGUCAAGUAUAGCCUUCCGAAAGGAGGGGUAAUACUGGAUAGUUCCCGAUUUAAUCGGGUAAAGCACGUAACUGUGCGCCAUGGGAGCGGCCUUAUUCCUAUCAGCUUGUUGGUAGGGUAAAAGCCUACCAAGGCGAUGACGGGUAGGGGGCGUGAGAGCGUGACCCCCCACAAUGGCACUGAGACACGGGCCAUACACCUACGGGUGGCAGCAACUGGGAAUAGUUGUCAAUGGACGAAAGUCUGAACACGCGAUACCGCGUGAGGGAUGAAGUAUCUCGGUAUGUAAACCUCUUUUGCCAGAUCAUCGAGAUUUGGCGAAUAAGCACCUACAAACUACGUGCCAGCAGUCGCGGUAAUACGUAGGGUGCAAGCGUUAUCCGGAUUUACUGGGCGUAAAGUGUCGCGUAGGCGACUUCUUGUGUCACAUCUUAAAGAGUAAGGCUUAACCUUGCCGUUGGAUGUGAGACUAAGAAGAUUUGAAGAAGAGAGGAGUACCUGGAACUGACGGUGGAGUAGUGAAAUGCGUUGAUAUCGUCAGGAACACCAAAAGCGAAGGCAAGGUACCGGCUCUUUCUUGACGCUGAGGCACGAAAGCUAGGGGAGCGAAGCAGAUUAGAGACCUGCGUAGUCCUAGCCCUAAACGCAUGGAUGCUAGAUACCCCGUCGCAAAACCUAUGGGUUUUGCGACGAAAUCAAAAAUCAAAAUGUCCUGCAGAGCAGGAUCUGGCUUUGCCAGACAAAAUUCAAAAAUAUACAAGGUAUCCCUUCGGGACUAUUUAUAAAUUUGUCCUUGUUAAAUUUUGAUCUUUGACUUUUGAAUUUUAGAUUUCGCAAAAACGUAGUUUUUGCGAUGGGGUGUCGCAAGCUAACGCGUUAAGCAUCCCGCCUGGGGAGUACGAACGCAAGUUUAAAACUCAAAGGAAUUGACGGGGACCCGCACAACCAGUGGAGCAUGUGGUUCAAUUCGAGACGAAGCGAAAGACCUCACCAGGGUUCGACAUGUAACUGCAUGUCUAAGAAAUUAGGCAGCCUUCGAGGGUGUUACAAAGCUGCUGCAUGGCUGUCGUCAGCUCGUGCCGUGGGGUGUUGGCUUAAGUGCCAGAACGAGCGCAACCCCCAUCCAAUGUUAAAUUAUCAUUGGAGACCGCCCGCUUCUUUUUGAACUCACGAGUUCAAAAAGAGUUGCUUAGUUAUUAGUUAAUUAGUUACUUAGUAAUUUUCUAAGUAACUAAGCAUCUAAUCAACUAUGUAACUCAAAUUCGUAGAGUUUGAAAAGAAGCGGGAGGAAGGAGGGGACGACGUCAAGUCAGCACGGCGCUUAUGCCCUGGGCAACACACAUCCUACAAUGGCGAAAAACAACGAGAUGCAAGCUCGCGAGUGCAAGCCAAUCUCUGAAAUUUCGCCUCAGUUCAGAUUGCAGUCUGCAACUCGACUGCAUGAAGCCGGAAUUGGUAGUAAUCGCAGAUCAGCAUGGCUGCGGUGAAUACGUUCUCGGGUCUUGUACACACCGCCCGUCAAGUCAACAAAGUUGGAAGUAGCUGAA